AAUAGCGGAGGAAAAGAAACCAACUGGGAUUACCUUAGUAACGGCGAGUGAAGCGGUAAAAGCUCAAAUUUGAAAUCUGGUACUUUCAGUGCCCGAGUUGUAAUUUGUAGAAUUUGUCUUUGAUUAGGUCCUUGUCUAUGUUCCUUGGAACAGGACGUCAUAGAGGGUGAGAAUCCCGUUUGGCGAGGAUACCUUUUCUCUGUAAGACUUUUUCGAAGAGUCGAGUUGUUUGGGAAUGCAGCUCAAAGUGGGUGGUAAAUUCCAUCUAAAGCUAAAUAUUGGCGAGAGACCGAUAGCGAACAAGUACAGUGAUGGAAAGAUGAAAAGAACUUUGAAAAGAGAGUGAAAAAGUACGUGAAAUUGUUGAAAGGGAAGGGCAUUUGAUCAGACAUGGUGUUUUUUGCAUGCACUCGCCUCUCGUGGGCUUGGGCCUCUCAAAAAUUUCACUGGGCCAACAUCAAUUCUGGCAGUAGGAUAAAUCAUUAAGAAUGUAGCUACCUCGGUAGUGUUAUAGCUUAUUGGAAUACUGCUAGCUGGGAUUGAGGACUGCGCUUCGGCAAGGAUGUUGGCAUAAUGGUUAAAUGCCGCCCGUCUUGACCC
rnacentral:rRNA from 1 species